GAAGCAGCAGAAGUGAGUUCAAACUUCUCUAAAACAAGGGGAUGGAGAACACCAAAUACACCAACGCGAAUUCCAGCAGUACCAAAAUCUUUACGAUAGUACACUGCUGCACAUCGACCUGGGAAAAAGGUGCUGUCGUCCUCAGCCUCGAUCCAGUAUCCCACAGCAUCGGAAUCUUUGGGAUUCAUGAUGCGUUUAGUAUUUAACAUAAGCAUCACACGAUCUAACAAGCCAUGAAUUUGUUCAAAACCAGAGUUCAAACCUGCAAAAAUGGCGCAAAGAUGACGCUCAUUACGAGUCAUGCGCUCUCUGGAAUAAUCACAAAAGGCUACGUCGCUGACUUCAAAUAUUUUAAUCGGUAAAGCAUGAUUUUUGUUCUCGCGAACCGUUUUCAAAAUACCAGGAAGCAAGCUUGAACGAACAACUUGAAAUUCUAAAGUCUUGGGAUUUGCAAGUUGAACAGCUUUUGAAUCAUCAGUCUUUCGAAGCCAUGCAUAAUUCUCGUCAUGGGAGCAAAGGAUGAAAGGCAUGACCUCGGACCACCCAGCAUAUGCAACUUCAUUACGAAUAAUGUCAGCUAGUCGAUUAACCUCAAAAGGCUUGCCAAAUGUAACACUAUGAGCAGGAUAAGUGUGUUUCAAAUUGUCAUAUCCAUAAGCAAUGCCAAGAUCCUCCAUAAUAUCACACUGGUGAAGAAUAUCAGCGCGCAAGGGUGGAACGUAUACCAAAAGAGUCUUGGAAUCAUUUGGGUUGGGCUUUGCUGUAAGCAUCAUUCGGGUCAACAAAUGACAGAUCUCAUCUUCGGGAAGGGACAAUCCACAGGCUUCGUUCAAAUAGUCGAUAUCAGCUUUAAAACAUGUAGGAUUCAAAUUAGGAGUAACACGAGUACACCCAUUGUGCUCAGAUAUGAUAUUAACAGGCUCAAUGGUAAAAGGCUCUUCACAGUAACAAGAGAACAUCGUGGUCAUCAUGUUGACAACAAUUUCGAGUUUAGUUUUAUCGGUUGCGGUAACAUCGAUGAAGAUGUCCCGGGUAUCCACACUGAUCUUACUGAACUCACUAUUAAUGAUAGGGGGAAGUGAGCAAACCCUUCUCUUAGCAUCCAAAAUUACAGGAUAUCUGGGAGAGUUGGCAAUGAUGUGUAAAUAACGGGAAAGAUGUUUACUAUCCUUGUAAAAUUCUAAUAAAUUAGAACCAUUGAUUUCCUGGGUUUGAUUCAAAGGAACGAAAUUGAUCUCUUCGGGUUUUAAUGCCUCGUAGGUAAACGGACCUUCCAUUACAGAGAAGUCAUGGGUACCAAUGGCUACAAGGGUACGGUUUCUACACAAAUUUGCAUGUAACUUGUCUUGUAAGGCAAUGAAGCUCUGGUAACGAAUGGGAUCAAGCUUCACACCUCGUAAGAUAGCUGCAGCGGCAUAAGGACGAAUUUCCGAGGUUUCAGGGGAAAUUGUGAGUGAAGUGGUGGAAGGAAGUAAUUUGUAUUGAGGAGUAGCCAUGCGACGAUUAAACACAUUCAAAGCCUGGGCGAUUCCUUCUAAGCAGAGCAUAUCGUAGCGAUUUGCCGGAAUGUCAAUUUUUAAAGAAGGACGCUCAGAAGGACUUCUUUCUGGGUCAUUUGUAGUGUCUUCAUCAAGCUCAAUUCCAAAUUGGAAGCAGAGUUCAUCAAACUCUUGAGUUGCUACAAUUAUGUUAAAUUUCGCUGCUUAUCAACAAAUCAUCUUUCACUUACUGUACUCUCUUCCUAGGGCCUUGUACAGCUCUUCCUUGUCACAGCUGAUGGUAGGCAUUUCCUCAAAUUCAAAAAGCUUCAAAGGAUCUGUGGUGAACGAUGGGCUUGCCUGAACCGGGCCUACUUUACCACACUAGGAAGGGUGAUCCACUAAAUCUGAAGUGACUUGUUACUUGUUUUAGAUUUAAUCGGCCUUGGCUAGCAUAGGAGUUUGGUAGGAAUAUAUUCGUAAUAUAAUAAAUUAAUAUUCAUUUUAUACUCUGAGAUAUUCCAUAAAUACAAAACUCACGAGCUACUGAUUUGUACAUGCUUCAGGCCCCUAUUACUAAAGCUCGAGAUGAUAAAAGGUAAUGCAACAAAUUCAUAAUAGCACAAUU